AGAAUUGCAACUGAAGUGCAAAGCAGCGCUUUUGUUUAAGGAAGUAAAACAUUUUGUGCUGCUUGCUUGUAGCAGUUUGUGUAAAAGGAUAGGAUACAAAGUGGUGAGUUGUGUCCAGGCCGUGGGCCCUCACCUCUCCCCUCCUGGGGCAGCCCGUGUUUUUCGCCACCGCCCAUACCCUCUUCCUCCCUUUACACCCCUGAGGUCUUCCGGAGCCUUCCUCAACAUUCUGCCCAUGUCCGCACUCUCAUUAAUCAACGUCAAGCUUCAACUGGAGGACAAGGCCAGUAUUCUGUGUGCUGCCCCCUCAGACGCUCAUACAUCUCAUUGUUCUGAUUCACAUGGGCAAAGAAACGGCCCAGAGUCCGACAUGAAAGGGAUGAGACUGAGAAAGAAAGAAGAGGAGGCAUUUCUGCAUCUUUCUCUCUCUUGUUCCCUCCCCUCAAUGCUCUCUCUAUCCGUCUCUCUGUUCAUUUUCAGCUAGUGUAUGGGAAGAGACGAUCGUUUUCAAGAAUACAUUUAGACAACUGAAUGAAAAGAAAUGAUAAAGAAAGAAUAUAAAUAUCAACAUUGAAGUGUAGUUUCACAAUCUUGAGC